UACGGAGGGAGCUAGCGUUAUUCGGAAUUACUGGGCGUAAAGCGCACGUAGGCGGCUUUGCAAGUUAGAGGUGAAAGCCUGGAGCUCAACUCCAGAACUGCCUUUAAAACUGCAUCGCUUGAAUCCAGGAGAGGUGAGUGGAAUUCCGAGUGUAGAGGUGAAGUUCGUAGAUAUUCGGAAGAACACCAGUGGCGAAGGCGGCUCACUGGACUGGUAUUGACGCUGAGGUGCGAAAGCGUGGGGAGCAAACAGG
rnacentral:rRNA from 1 species